AGAUGAGGUUGCUGGGAAGGCUCCUCCAUUAGAUUGGUUGAAUAAAGUUUUGAAGCCAUUGGAACCUCCUGCAGAUGUGUCUGCAGAGAGAAUUUUUCCUGCCCCUUUGCUGAUUCCUACAUGGCAGCCUGGCUCCCAUCACCGGGGUCCUCUGAGAUGGAAGAACAAAGCCACAUGGCACAAGAAACCCCAUGAGCCAAACAAAAUCCCGAAACAAAUGGUGACAGAACUGCACAAAGGGAAUG